rnacentral:misc_RNA from 1 species
AAUACAUCUUUAUAAAAUAAUUAUAAUUACAAUUUAUAUUUUAUUUUAGUUUUAUUAGAGCAGAUGAUGUGAGAAUAAACAGUUUAUACUCUGCAUAUACUGCAACAAGGUAGUAGAGUAGCUACCAUUGUUGGUCUGAACAUAUCAUAAACGUCUGUUAAACAGCACCUACCUCUAUUUAAAAAUACACCUGUAGGGAAAAUUUCCCGACGAUAAAUAAACACAAACUGUACUAGGUAAAUGCAAGAAAUAAAGUUACCUUUACCUAGUACCGUUCAUGUUUAUUUAUCUGCGGGAAAUUUUCCUUUUUCAUUUGACUUAUUGACAGCUGCAGUGUGUAAUCUUUCUCCUAUAUUAUGAUUAUUUUUACCUUUUUUGAUGACCAUUAGACUCAUUCAAGUUUUUUGGUUGAUUGGCUGAUUGAUUGACUAUAAACAGGGGUACUAUAUUUGAUGUAUUUUUUAAUUUUACAGGGUUUCUGUCAAGGUGUUACCUUUUAAUAAAGACCUUCUACAGUGGAAGGAGAGGGGCAUAAGUAAAUUAAUAGUUAAAGUCAGCUUAAAAAUUUACUUGAAACUGUCUAAAACAAAUGGAGACAUUCAGUCUUUAUAGGACUGAACCCUGAAGUUAAUUUUAAAAUAAAUAAAAAUUUUGUAUCAAAACUGCUUCUUUCUAUUAACACAUUCCCCAGUGCAAGACAAAACAAGUUAAUUAAAGCUGAUGUAGAGUUCAAGUUUGUUAAACUUUUUUUUUUUUUAGUUUGGUUAAUCUUUUUUUUGUUCUUUUCAAAAUUAUCCUUAACAAUUUGACAUUGAAUAAUAUUUUAUUGUUUUUUUAUUGAAGUUUUGAGUUCCAAAUACAGUAUAACUUCUUUUUUUAUCAUUUAUUAAAAAUAACAACCUUCUUAUAUUUUGAAUUUGUUCUAGAAUCCCUUAAGAAGAAACCAGAAACACUGAAAUGCUUCAUCAGUGACAUUGAAUGUAUUAGGGCCAUCCAGUGCAGUUGUUAGCAAGAAGUCACAUAAAGUUACAAAAAAAAGGGAUUACUCGACAAGACAACCCUGGACUGUAGAGGAAAAGACUGCUGUUUUAGAAUAUUUCAAAGAUCACAUAUGGUCAGGUGUCACACCAAACAAAACCCAGGUUGAAGAAGCACAGA